AUACAUCAAAAGCUGGUUAUUUACUGUUGUUUUUCUACUUAAAACAUUGGCCUUCAUGUAAAUUCAAGGCUUGAUUGGAUGUUGUAAAUUGAGUCUUCCAAGUGGAUGCAUCUGUGGAAACAACUUGGGAAUCUACACUGUCUUAGAAGGUCUGUGUGUUGGUCAUGUUGUCCUCAGCCGAGAACUGGCCUCAAGUUUAACCCCCUUGGAGAUACUAGAGACCCCAGAGGGCUGAAAACGUACAGGUGAAACUUAAUCCUCCAGAUAUGGCAGCGCCUGUGAGAUACCCUUGGUGGAGAGCAUUUGUGACAAGGAAGAGUAUUCCAACAACCCAAGAAUCUGGUGAGACCCAACCUUCUGGGGAGCAUAUUUCUCCUAUCUCCUCCAAAUCUACACCGGACUCAAAGGGAAACGAAACAUUUCCAGAUGCAGAAACCUUUGACGAUGCAGAGUUUGAGCCAAUGUUCAAUGAGAAAACUUGUAGACGGAAUCUAAAAGUUUCACGUUCUGGACGUUUUAAGGAGAAGAGAAGAGUAAGGGGGACCAUACCUGAAAAUAACAACUUCAGUGGAAAUGUUGCUGCGACUGCUGUUGCGAAGUAGCCCAGGGUAUAUCAUUAUCAUUCUCAUUCUACCUGCCAGACUGCAACCUGUUAUGGAGCAUGGGACAUUGAUGAUGCAAUUAGAAUUAAUUUUUUUAGGCAUUUUUUAAAGAUAUAACUUUCAUAAAUGUUGAUCAAUUGGGCCUAUACCAAGUUAAUAUAUUAGGUAUACACCUAAUUCAUAAUAUGUUUAGGCCAAUGAAAGAUGGAUACGGAAUAGUUAUGAAGUAUCAAAUUAUUGUAAAAAAUGUCAUAAUCAUAUUGUAGCGAAUUCGGAAAGUAGCCCCAACCGGGACUCGAACCAGGGUCCAGCCAAGCCCUUAACGGUAACGCCAAAGAGGUCUGGGUUAAGGUUGCUACAUUACCAACUUCCUUCAGGAGAGUGUGUCCCCACACUUCUCUAUACCAAGUCCCUCAUGUGUAUGGCCUCACCAAUGUAGAAAAUUCAGGAGGUAGCCCUGACAGGGACUCAAGCCAACACCUUUAACGUUACGCCAACAGGUCCGAACUUCUUGACGAGGUCACUAGAUGUUGGGUUAAGGUUGUUACAAUAUCCAUUUUCAAGUAUGUUUUCAUAUUUCAUACACACCCAGCCUAAUGCACAUGGUAUCUAAUGUAGAAAAUAUUCCUGCCAGGGUCAAUUUUUUAAAUUUUUUUAUUAUUUCUUUGUUGCUUUUUGUGUGUUUGUUUUCUUGUUUGUUUGUUUGAUAUGAAGGACUCGAGGUGGUUUGAUAUGAAGGACUCGAGGUGGUUUGAUAUGAAGGACUCGAGGUGGUUUGACAUAAAAGACUCGAGGUGGUUUGAUAUGAAGGACUCGAGGUGGUUUGACAUGAAGGACUCGAGGUGGUUUGAAAUGAAGGACUCGAGGUGGUUUGAUAUGAAGGACUCGAGGUGGUUUGACAUGAAGGACUCGAGGUGGUUUGACAUAAAAGACUCGAGGUGGUUUGAUAUGAAGGACUCGAGGUGGUUUGAUAUGAAGGACUCGAGGUGGUUUGACAUGAAGGACUCGAGGUGGUUUGAUAUGAAGGACUCGAGGUGGUUUGAUAUGAAGGACUCGAGGUGGUUUGAUAUGAAGGACUCGAGGUGGUUUGAUAUGAAGGACUCGAGGUGGUUUGAUAUGAAGGACUCGAGGUGGUUUGAUAUGAAGGACUCGAGGUGGUUUGAUAU